GACGAACGCUGGCGGCGUGCUUAACACAUGCAAGUCGAACGAUGAAGCUAGAGCUUGCUCUGGUGGAUUAGUGGGGAACGGGUGAGUAACACGUGAGUAACCUGCCCCGAACUCUGGGAUAACUGCUGGAAACGGUAGCUAAUACCGGAUAUGACCAAUGAAGGCAUCUUUCUUUGGUGGCAAGAAUUUAGGUUAGGGAUGGACUCGCUGCGUAUCAGCUGGUGGGGGAGGUCACGGCUCACAAAGGCGACGACGGGUAGCCGGACUGAGAGGGUGAUCGGCCACACUGGGACUGAGACACGGCCCAGACUCCUACGGGAGGCAGCAGUGGGGAAUAUUGCACAAUGGGCGCAAGCCUGAUGCAGCAACGCCGCGUGAGGGACGACGGCCUUCGGGUUGUAAACCUCUUUUAGUAGGGAAGAAGCGAAAGUGACGGUACCUGCAGAAAAAGCACCGGCUAACUACGUGCCAGCAGCCGCCGUAA
rnacentral:rRNA from 1 species